UGAGGUGUUCUUUUCCUGGCUGUGACUUGG
rnacentral:piRNA from 1 species